rnacentral:rRNA from 1 species
UACGGGGGGGGCAAGCGUUGUUCGGAAUUACUGGGCGUAAAGGGCUCGUAGGUGGCCAACUAAGUCAGACGUGAAACCCCUCGGCUUAACCGGGGAACUGCAUCUGAUACUGGAUGGCUUGAGUUUGGGAGAGGGAUGCGGAAUUCCAGAUGUAGCGGUGAAAUGCGUAGAUAUCUGGAGGAACACCGGUGGCGAAGGCGGCAUCCUGGACCAACACUGACACUGAGGAGCGAAAGCCAGGGGAGCAAACGGG